rnacentral:rRNA from 1 species
CUCCCAAACCCCUGUGAACAUACCAAUUGUUGCCUCGGCGGAUCAGCCCGCUCCCGGUAAAACGGGACGGCCCGCCAGAGGACCCCUAAACUCUGUUUCUAUAUGUAACUUCUGAGUAAAACCAUAAAUAAAUCAAAACUUUCAACAACGGAUCUCUUGGUUCUGGCAUCGAUGAAGAACGCAGCAAAAUGCGAUAAGUAAUGUGAAUUGCAGAAUUCAGUGAAUCAUCGAAUCUUUGAACGCACAUUGCGCCCGCCAGUAUUCUGGCGGGCAUGCCUGUUCGAGCGUCAUUUCAACCCUCAAGCCCAGCUUGGUGUUGGGACUCGCGAGUCAAAUCGCGUUCCCCAAAUUGAUUGGCGGUCACGUCGAGCUUCCAUAGCGUAGUAGUAAAACCCUCGUUACUGGUAAUCGUCGCGGCCACGCCGUUAAACCCCAACUUCUGAAUGUUGACCUCGGAUCAGGUAGGAAUACCCGCUGAACUUAAGCAUAUCAAUAAGCGGAGGAAAAGAAACCAACAGGGAUUGCCCUAGUAACGGCGAGUGAAGCGGCAACAGCUCAAAUUUGAAAUCUGGCUCUCGGGCCCGAGUUGUAAUUUGUAGAGGAUACUUUUGAUGCGGUGCCUUCCGAGUUCCCUGGAACGGGACGCCAUAGAGGGUGAGAGCCCCGUCUGGUUGGAUGCCAAAUCUCUGUAAAGUUCCUUCGACGAGUCGAGUAGUUUGGGAAUGCUGCUCUAAAUGGGAGGUAUAUGUCUUCUAAAGCUAAAUACCGGCCAGAGACCGAUAGCGCACAAGUAGAGUGAUCGAAAGAUGAAAAGCACUUUGAAAAGAGAGUUAAAAAGUACGUGAAAUUGUUGAAAGGGAAGCGUUUAUGACCAGACUUGGGCUUGGUUGAUCAUCUGGGGUUCUCCCCAGUGCACUCUUCCAGUCCAGGCCAGCAUCAGUUUUCGCCGGGGGAUAAAGACUUCGGGAAUGUGGCUCUCUUCGGGGAGUGUUAUAGCCCGUUGUGUAAUACCCUGGCGGGGACUGAGGUUCGC